UCCGAUAUGGUGUAACGGCUAACAUUACCGCCUUUCAUAUAAUGACUUGCGAAAGUUAUGUGCGCGGUAGCUCGGGGUUCGAUUCCCCGUAUCGGAA